ACACGUAGGGGGCGAGCGUUGUCCGGAAUUACUGGGCGUAAAGGGCGUGUAGGCGGUUUAGCAAGUCAGCUGUGAAAAUCCUAGGCUUAACCUGGGGCUUGCAGUUGAAACUGUUAAACUGGAGUGCAGGAGAGGAAGGUGGAAUUCCCAGUGUAGCGGUGAAAUGCGUAGAUAUUGGGAGGAACACCAGUGGCGAAGGCGACCUUCUGGCCUGCAACUGACGCUGAGGCGCGAAAGCUAGGGGAGCAAACAGGAUUAGAUACCCUGGUAGUCCUAGCUGUAAACGAUGGGUACUAGGUGUAGGUGGUUUAGAUACCAUCUGUGCCGCAGCCAACGCAUUAAGUACCCCGCCUGGGGACUACGGCCGCAAGGUUGAA
rnacentral:rRNA from 1 species